UCUUAUCCAUUCUGGUGUUGGAUCUCUCCUUUCUGUGCGCUGCGUGCGUCGUCAUGCUUCGUCUGUUUCGCUUUCAUCACUCCGUGUUUCUCGGUCGCUGCGGAAUCUCCAAGAAGCAAGGCUUCAGGAUGGCUGCUUCUCUCCCGGAUUCUAUGGGAAUUGAUUCAAAAAUGUGUUC